CUGCAGAACAUGCGCGAGAAAAAUAAUCCAGGAAAAAGAAGUGCUUAACAUUGUUCUAACAGCAACUCAGCCAAUUUUACAAUACCUGGCUGGCCCAUCAGAUCCCAAGCAAUUCCCCUUCAUUUUAGCCGGGAACAAGGUUCAUGUAGACACUGGAAGCAGGCGAGUGGAAAAAAUGAAAGAGAAAAGAGAAUAGGCAAUUAUGACAGAAGCACGGACAUCUUGAAUCAAUGCAUAAGGCAGGUUGUAUCACUUUUCUUGAUCUGGUUGAUGGUUAGUAUUCUCUUGUUAGAAGUCGCAUCUUUGAUGUCGGGGCCUGGGAUUUUUUUUUAGUAUGCUAAUGGUCAGCCUGGAAGUCCGUGACAUGUUUUCAACGACUGUGGUAGACCAGUUAUUAAGUUGCAUACUUUCUUCCUUGGUUUCUAUUUUAGUUCUCAGAUGUCCUCAAUAUUGCUUUGCUUCGCCAUAUCGGCUCACACUCUUGAUGAUCGAAAGCUAUUAUUUCAAAACUAUGCUCUAUCUUCAAAAGUUCAGAUGUUUGUUUAUGCUUUCUGUUUCUUCUGUUUUGGCAGGAAGCUAUUUUAAUCGUUUCUUUUGCAACAACAAUUUAAAAACUUUGUUCUUUAUAAAAUUGACCAGGAUUUGUAAACCAAUACAUUAUUAACAGUAGUUGGUGAGACCUGAAAUGUAGUAUACCUAAUUCCGCUCUGAAGAUAAAUAUUUUAAGUCACUUAUUGCACUCUCUUACCUGUUUCCAACAAAUUGCGAAGAUGGUGAACUCAUUAGUAUAUUUUACUUUAGUGAAUAAAUUCAUAAUUGUUUCCCAUCUUUGGAUUUUUCCUUCAAAAAUUCAGAUAGUUUGGUUAUGCUUAUCUUGGUCAGACAAAUAUUAGUCCUCUUUUUUCCGGAAUACAAAUAAAAAGCAUUCAUGAAGGGAGCAAGCUUUACAAAACAACAGUGUUACUGUUAGUUCAUGGGCCAUGUAGCAGAGCAUAGCUUACCCAUUUCAAAUGUAGGUAUUUUGAAAGCAUCUACGGGUUUGGAAAAAUAGCAGGGCUUGUGAACUCGCUAUUAUCAGUUCAGGCUGCUGGCUCAAGAUUCAGAAUUGUUUCUCUUUUAUGUGCUUUGCCUUCAAAAGUGUGGAUACCUUAUUAUGUUUUCAGUUCCUUCUUUGGUUUUUACAGUUCAUUUUGAAGCUAAAAUGUUUGUUGCUUUCGUUUCCAAAA